GGGGACGGCCCAUGGCUCAGUGAUAGAGCAUCUUCUUGGCAUGCACAAGGUCCCGGGUUCAAUCCCCUGCACCCCCA
rnacentral:tRNA from 1 species